GAUGAACGCUGGCGGCGUGCCUAAUACAUGCAAGUCGAGCGAACAGAUAAGGAGCUUGCUCCUUUGACGUUAGCGGCGGACGGGUGAGUAACACGUGGGUAACCUACCUAUAAGACUGGGAUAACUUCGGGAAACCGGAGCUAAUACCGGAUAACAUUUGGAACCGUAUGGUUCUAUAGUGAAAGAUGGUUUUGCUGUCACUUAUAGAUGGACACGCGCCGUAUUAGCUAGUUGGUAAGGUAACGGCUUCCCAAGGCAACGAUACGUAGCCGACCUGAGAGGGAGAUCGGCCCCACCGGAGCUGAGACACGGCCAAGAGUCCUACGGGAGGCAGCAGUAGCGAAUGUGGGGCAAUGGAGGAAAGCAUGACGGAGAAGGGGGGCGUGAGUGAUGAAGGAUUUCUGCGCGUAAAACGCAGUUUUUCGGGAAGAACAGAUGUGUCAGUAACUGAGCACAUAUUGACGGUACCUGCUCAAGAAGCCACGGCUAACUACGUG
rnacentral:rRNA from 1 species